GACGAACGCUGGCGGCGUGCCUAAUACAUGCAAGUCGAGCGAAGUUUUUCUGGUGCUUGCACUAGAAAAACUUAGCGGCGAACGGGUGAGUAACACGUAAAGAACCUGCCUCAUAGACUGGGACAACUAUUGGAAACGAUAGCUAAUACCGGAUAACAGCAUUAACUGCAUGGUUGAUGUUUAAAAGUUGGUUUUGCUAACACUAUGAGAUGGCUUUGCGGUGCAUUAGCUAGUUGGUGGGGUAAAGGCCUACCAAGGCGACGAUGCAUAGCCGACCCGAGAGGGUGAUCGGCCACACUGGGACUGAGGCACGGCCCAGACUCCUACGGGAGGCAGCAGUAGGGAAUCUUCCGCAAUGGGCGGAAGCCUGACGGAGCAACGCCGCGUGAGUGAAGAAGGAUUUCGGUUCGUAAAGCUCUGUUGUUAGGGAAGAAUGAUUGUGUAGUAACUAUACACAGUAGAGACGGUACCUAACCAGAAAGCCACGGCUAACUACGUG
rnacentral:rRNA from 1 species